rnacentral:rRNA from 1 species
GGUUGCGAUCAUACCAGCACUAAUACACCGGAUCCCAUUAGAACUCCGCAAUUUAGCGUGCUUGGGCGAGAGUAGUACUAGGAUGGGUGACCCCCCUGGGAAGUCCUCGUGUUGCAACCC